rnacentral:rRNA from 1 species
UACGUAGGGGGCUAGCGUUGUCCGGAAUCAUUGGGCGUAAAGAGCGUGUAGGCGGCCCGGUAAGUCCGCUGUAAAAGUCAAAGGCUCAACCUUUGAAUGUCAGUGGAUACUGCCGGGCUAGAGUCCGGAAGAGGCGAGUGGAACUCCUGGUGUAGCGGUGGAAUGCGCAGAUAUCAGGAAGAACACCAACGGCGAAGGCAGCUCGCUGGGACGGUACUGACGCUGAGACGCGAAAAGCGUGGGGAGCGAACAGGAUUAGAACCGU